rnacentral:rRNA from 1 species
AUUGAACGCUGGCGGCAGGCCUAACACAUGCAAGUCGAGCGGGGUUUUCGGACCUAGCGGCGGACGGGUGAGUAAUGCGUAGGAAGCUACCCGAUAGAGGGGGAUACCAGUUGGAAACGACUGUUAAUACCGCAUAAUGUCUACGGACCAAAGUGUGGGACCUUCGGGCCACAUGCUAUCGGAUGCGCCUGCGUGGGAUUAGCUAGUUGGUGAGGUAAUGGCUCACCAAGGCGACGAUCCCUAGCUGGUUUGAGAGGAUGAUCAGCCACACUGGAACUGAGACACGGUCCAGACUCCUACGGGAGGCAGCAGUGGGGAAUAUUGGACAAUGGGCGCAAGCCUGAUCCAGCCAUGCCGCGUGUGUGAAGAAGGCCUUCGGGUUGUAAAGCACUUUCAGUAGGGAGGAAGCGUUGUGUGUUAAUAGUACACAGCGUUGACGUUACCUACAGAAGAAGCACCGGCUAACUCUGUGCCAGCCGCCGCUGUAACAC